GAUGAAGAACGUAGCGAAAUGCGAUAAGUAAUGUGAAUUGCAGAAUUCAGUGAACCAUCGAAUCUUUGAACGCACAUUGCGCCCGGCAGUAAUCUGCCGGGCAUGCCUGUCCGAGCGUCAUUUCUGCCCUCGAGCGAGUCCAGCAUCUAGGUGCUGGGCCCGCCCGGCGUUGGGGCACUACGGGAAGCCCUGUGCUGUCCCCCGUAGGCCCCGAGAUGAAGUGGCGGUCCUGCCGCGGCGCCCCCUGCGUAGUAUAACAGCUCGCUUCGGGACCCGGUGGAGGCCUGCCGUCAAACCUUACUCUCUAAGUUUGACCUCGGAUCAGGUAGGGUUACCCGCUGAACUUAAGCAUAUCAAUAAGCGGAGGA
rnacentral:misc_RNA from 1 species